AGCACAACAGAAAGAGGAGGAGAUUAUUGUCUGAGGAUUUGAGAACAAAAAUUGUGGAAAAGCAUGGACAAUGUCAAGGUUACAAAUCCAUUUCCAGAGAUCUAAA